rnacentral:lncRNA from 1 species
CGAGAAUCGGGAAGUUCUGCCUCAGUGACCUUCGCUGUUGGUCGUGGCACUGAGGCCCAGAUCAUGCCACCUCCUCUAACAAGUGGCUGAGUGGACACCCCACACAUUCUACCCAAGGGCCGUGAGUGGCCAAGAUCGGGGCUCAGAAGUCUCUGAAUCUUCACAGCUGGUCACGUUCAGCUCGGUCACUUCCUGUAAGAUUCCAGGCACUGCAUGCACUGACAUGGGUGCGUGUGGGCCCACUGGGUCCUGCCUGGGAGCCUUCCCUGAAUGUUCAUUUUUUGCAGGUCUGUGUUUGUCUUGGAGUAAGGAUUAUUCUCGCUUGCUGGGGUCAUGGUGUUUUGGCCUCUCCUGGCCUGGACUCUCAAAAACUCAUCAUCCUUCAUAGGUCUGAAGGCUUCUACAUUCCCACCAGCAGGUGGACCAUAUGAACUCAAAACUAGUUGUGGCAGAGGGACCCUGAA